rnacentral:misc_RNA from 1 species
AACUUAUCAACCACGACGUGGCUUGGAUUGUGGGGGGCUCCUGCUGGCUUAAAAUUUUAGGUCGGCUCCCCUGAAAUGAAUUAGUGGCGUCUGAGCUGCUACCAUGGGUGUGAUAAAUAUCUAUGCCUCUGGAGCAGAUUGUGCUGCCUCCCAAUAUAUUUGACAG